GUGGGCAGCGUCUCUUCCGGGUAGAAAAUAGCUGGAACUUUCACCAGUGUUCAGUCUGCCGCCAGCCCCCGGGGAACUAUGGAGGCCCCGCGACCGGCAGGGACAUUCGUGGUGGUAGGAGGUGGCAUCGCUGGCGUCACGUGUGCCGAGCAGGUUCGUGGGCGCGUGCUCCGCCCCUUCUGGACCCUGUUGUCGUGGUUACGGGAGAUUGCGGCGGGCGGCACCGCUUCGCGGGUCGCUCUUCCGGCUUUUCCCCACGCCCACUCGGCGGCGCCGCUGGUGGGGAGGCUGCGCAGAGCCCCGUUGUAGCGUUUGGGGCCAGGAGUAGACAGUGCCUAAUUAGCUAGGAAUCCAAAAUCGAACCAGACUCCGGGUGGAAUAGUGUGCCAGUGGGCAGGAGACCUUGGCGUUUGGACAGAAAAUUCUCCCACUUUUCAGAUUUCCUUCACACAUGAAAUUUAGUUUCUUGAUAAGUGCCACGACGUUAAUAAAUAAUUUCAACGUUACCUUGAACUCCAAAGAUAAAAUUUCAUGUCUAGCAGAAGUUUGGGGCAAAGGACUACAGAUGAGGAAAUUCUAAUCAUGAUAAACAAAUGAAUCAGAUGUGUUUACAUGUGCGUAUUACAGAAAAGAACUAUUUUGUUGCGAUCACCAACCGCUGAAGUCACCAGAAAUAGUAGCAGGAAGUGUUUUUUGAGUUGUUAAACUUGGGUGGUGCAGCUCCUGUUUAUCCAUCAAAGAGUUCAUAUUCCAAGUCACGUCAUCACUGUGUUACCUUAAUCUUAGGAGUUACUGGUAGGAGUGAAUUAAGCUGGCUGUCAGUUUCCCAGAGGAAGACAUUCUCCUAGUCACAGCCUCUCCUGUUAUCAAAGCCGUUACAAACUUCAGACAGGUUUCUAAAGUACUGGAAGAAUUUGAUGUUGAAGAACAGCCAGGUACUAUGCUGGAAAGUCGCUUUCCCAACAUUAAGGUCAUCGAAUCUGGAGUAAAGCAGUUGAAAAGUGAAGACCAUUGCAUCUUCACAGAAGACGGUCGUGAAUUUGUAUAUAAGAAACUCUGUCUGUGUGCUGGAGCUAAGCCAAAGUUAAUCUACGAGGGAAAUCCACGUGUACUGGGAAUCCGUGAUACAGACAGUGCUCAGGAAUUUCAGAAAGAGCUUGCAAAAGCCAGGAGGAUAAUGAUUGUCGGGAAUGGUGGCAUUGCUCUGGAGCUAGCGAGACUGUACCAUUCCUCCUAGGUAUGAAAUUGAAGGCUGUGAAGUAGUUUGGGCCAUAAAGGAUAACGCCAUUGGGAAUACAUUCUUUGACGCGGGUGCAGCAGAGUUUCUGACUUCCAAGCUCAUGUCUGAAAAAUCAGAGGCUAAAAUUGCACAUAAAAGAACUAUAUAUACAGUUGAAGAAGCAAAGAAGGAAACCAGAACCAAAUCUAAAGCUGAUUAUGUGGGCAGUGCCCUUGGACCAGACUGGCACGGAGGCUUGGCUUUGAAAGGAACUGAAGAGUUUUCUCACAGUGUUCACAUUGAAACCAGAUGUGAAGUAAAGAAAAUCUACCUUGAAGAGGAAUUUAAGAUUAUGAAGAAAAAGUCCUUGGCUUUUCCAAAGGACCACCAUAAGUCAGUUACAGCUGAUAAAGAAAUGUGGCCUGUGUAUGUGGAACUGACCAAUGGGACAAUAUACGGCUGUGAUUUCCUUGUCAGCGCUACAGGAGUCACCCCAAACGUACACCCUUUUCUUCAUAGAAACAAUUUUGCUCUAGGAGAAGAUGGCGGCCUGAGAGUGGAUGACCAGAUGCGCACGUCACUUCCUGAUAUCUAUGCUGCUGGAGACAUCUGCACUGCGUGCUGGCAGCCGAGUCCAGUCUGGCAGCAGAUGAGGUUGUGGACACAGGCCCGGCAGAUGGGGUAUUAUGCAGCCAAGUGCAUGGCCGCAGCUAGCAUGGGACAUCCUAUUGACAUGGAUUUCAGCUUUGAACUGUUUGCUCAUGUCACAAAGUUUUUUAACUAUAAGGUUGUAUUGCUGGGAAAAUACAACGCACAAGGCCUGGGCGCAGACCAUGAGUUGAUGCUGAGGUGCACCAGAGGACAAGAGUAUGUCAAAGUCGUUAUGCAGAAUGGACGCAUGAUGGGAGCCGUCUUAAUUGGUGAAACGGACUUAGAGGAAACAUUUGAAAAUUUAAUCUUAAACCAAAUGGACCUUUCAUCAUACGGGGAGGAUCUCCUAGAUCCAAAUAUCGACAUAGAGGAUUAUUUUGAUUGAAAUUGAAAUCUCUUCAGGAAUACAAAGUACAAAAUAAAGAGAAAAGAAAGUACAUGGGGAAACAUAACCACACGGAGUGCAUGGGCACUCAAGUAGAGAAUGCAGACACCAGACUGGAUGUUGGAAAGAAAUAAAGAAAAUUCUUCAGAUGAA